rnacentral:rRNA from 1 species
UUAAGCCAUGCGAGUCGAACGAAACUUUCUUACACCGAAUGCUUGCAUUCACCGUAAGAAGUUGAGUGGCGGACGGGUGAGUAACACGUGGGUAACCUGCCUAAAAGAAGGGGAUAACACUUGGAAACAGAUGCUAAUACCGUAUAUCUCUAAGGAUCGCAUGAUCCUUAGAUGAAAGAUGGUUCUGCUAUCGCUUUUAGAUGGACCCGCGGCGUAUUAACUAGUUGGUGGGGUAACGGCCUACCAAGGUGAUGAUACGUAGCCGAACUGAGAGGUUGAUCGGCCACAUUGGGACUGAGACACGGCCCAAACUCCUACGGGAGGCAGCAGUAGGGAAUCUUCCACAAUGGACGCAAGUCUGAUGGAGCAACGCCGCGUGAGUGAAGAAGGUCUUCGGAUCGUAAAACUCUGUUGUUAGAGAAGAACACGAGUGAGAGUAACUGUUCAUUCGAUGACGGUAUCUAACCAGCAAGUCACGGCUAACUACGUGUCAGCCGCCGCGGUAA